GACGAACCGUGCGAACGUUGUUCGGAAUCACUGGGCUUAAAGGGCGCGUAGGCGGCUACGUCAGUCUCGGGUGAAAUCUUUCGGCUCAACCGGAAACGUGCCUGGGAUACUGCGUAGCUCGAGGGAGGUAGGGGCGGACGGAACGUUCCGGUGGAGCGGUGAAAUGCGUUGAUAUCGGAAGGAACGCCGGUGGCGAAAGCGGUCCGCUGGACCUCUACUGACGCUGAGGCGCGAAAGCCAGGGGAGCAAAGCGGG
rnacentral:rRNA from 1 species